rnacentral:tRNA from 1 species
GGGCCGUUAGCUCAGCUGGCAGAGCAGCGGACUUUUAAUCCGUUGGUCACUGGUUCGAAUCCAGUACGGCCCA